UAGGGAAUCUUCGGCAAUGGACGAAAGUCUGACCGAGCAACACCGCGUGAGUGAAGAAGGUUUUCGGAUCGUAAAACUCUGUUGUUAGAGAAGAACAAGGACGUUAGUAACUGAACGUCCCCUGACGGUAUCUAACCAGAAAGCCACGGCUAACUACGUGCCAGCAGCCGCGGUAAUACGUAGGUGGCAAGCGUUGUCCGGAUUUAUUGGGCGUAAAGCGAGCGCAGGCGGUUUCUUAAGUCUGAUGUGAAAGCCCCCGGCUCAACCGGGGAGGGUCAUUGGAAACUGGGAGACUUGAGUGCAGAGGAGGAGAGUGGAAUUCCAUGUGUAGCGGUGAAAUGCGUAGAUAUAUGGAGGAACACCAGUGGCGAAGGCGGCUCUCUGGUCUGUAACUGACGCUGAGGCUCGAAAGCGUGGGGAGCAAACAGG
rnacentral:rRNA from 1 species